rnacentral:rRNA from 1 species
AGUGAACGCUGGCGGUAGGCCUAACACAUGCAAGUCGAACGGCAGCACAGUAAGAGCUUGCUAUUACGGGUGGCGAGUGGCGGACGGGUGAGGAAUACAGCGGAAUCUACUUUUUCGUGGGGGAUAACGUAGGGAAACUUACGCUAAUACCGCAUACGACCUACGGGUGAAAGCAGGGGAUCUUCGGACCUUGCUCGAUUGAAUGAGCCGAUGUCGGGUUAGCUAGUUGGCGGGGUAAAGGCCGGCCAAGGCGACGAUCCGUAGCUGGGCUGAGAGGAUGAACAGCCACACUGGAACUGAGACACGGUACAGACUCCUACGGGCGGCAGAGAUGGCGAAUGUUGGAAAAUGGGCGCAAGCCUGAACCAGCCAUACCGCGUGGGUGAAGAAGGCCUUCGUGUUGUAAAGCCGCUUUGUUGGGAAAGAACAGCAGCAGGUUAAUCCCCCGCUGUUCUGACGGUACCCAAAGAAUAAGCACCGGCUAACUUCGUG